rnacentral:rRNA from 1 species
UACGUAGGGGGCAAGCGUUGUCCGGAUUUAUUGGGCGUAAAGAGCGUGUAGGCGGCCAGGUAGGUCCGCUGUGAAAACUCGAGGCUCAACCUCGAGAUGUCGGCGGAAACCACUUGGCUAGAGUCCGGAAGAGGAGAGUGGAAUUCCCGGUGUAGCGGUGAAAUGCGCAGAUAUCGGGAAGAACACCUAUGGCGAAGGCAGCUCUCUGGGACGGUACUGACGCUGAGACGCGAAAGCGUGGGGAGCGAACAGG